rnacentral:lncRNA from 1 species
GUGGUAUUUUUUUCUUUUUUCGUUAUCAAAAUAUCUGAAAUUUUCAUUAGAUUCACGACGUUCAGAGGUUACACAUGCCAAACCAUCCAAAUUUUUUAUGUUUGUCGAAAUUGUUUUUUAGUUUUAUAUAGUUUUUAGUUUGUUUUUGUGUGAGAUAAUCAUGACAGAAUUCAAAACUUUUAGUCUUUUAGCGAAUGUUUGCAAGUGUUUUCAUGUAAGGGGAAAUGGUAAGGUUUCAUCAGAUACAUACAUAGAUGCAGAUAGAGAAGCAAAAAUGUAUAUAAGUACGUAUCCCUUGUAGCGUUUAGUUUCUGGAGUCGAGCAUUAAAUAAAUAUGCCACGAGCACUCUGAAUAUGAGUUCGGAUACGCUGCAGGAGUCGCAAGGCAACAUGGGUUGGUCGAAGAACGGUCCACUGAGCACGGUCCUAAGGAAUGUCUCCGAAUCGAUGAAGCUAAUUGAGAGGACUGGGCACGGUUCAAAGGUUACCACGCAGCAGAAGGUUAAUAACAACAUACUGAAAAGGCAUCGGCAGCAGAAGCAAAACGAGCAGAAAGUAUCGGCAAGAUCAUACGCGACCCCAAGACCCGUGAAAGUCCAGGGAGGACUAAAGCAAAAGCUGAUGGAUCUGAUGAAAUCCAAUAUCACUCAGAGGAAGCAAACGUUGUUUGGCUAUAAUGACUCGAAUCUGGUCAGCAAGUAUACAAGGAUUGGGGAAAGCCGCUACGAGGGUUAUGCAUCCCAGAGUAAGCCCAAUCGAGGAGAUAGGAAAAUUGUGCCUCUAGUGAAAGUGGAGAAACCGACAUCUUACCGCCAGGAGUACGUUUGGAACAUAAAAAAAACCCCCCCGAUGGCAUAUACCACACUUCCCGAAUCCAGAUGGAAACGGGAGCAGCAAAGUCUCAAGGAGCAGCAGCGUCUCCAGGAGCAUCAAGCAGACUACAUCGAUAUAGCCAGUAUAACGAAUAAAAUCAAAAGAAACGAUCGCAUAAUGCGAUGCAUACGAGGCGUGGAGCAUAACGCCCACCUUCCCGUUGACUUUAGGCCCCAGGUAUAUCGUCACGGUUAUCAUUAGAGCUUGAAGCAGAGCGAAAUGAUUGCCAAAUACAAGGAUGACAAGAUACCCGAGAUGAUCAAGAUGCAACAGCAACAGAAGCGUAAGAAGGAGAAGUCCGAACAAAAGGAUAUCGCAAAGUCACGAAAAAGCACCACCUUCCCCAUCGAACUGUAAGAGACGUGAAGAUCAUAAAAAAGGCCAAGAAAGUGAAGAAAAGUAAAAUUGGUAAGAGAUACACAAAAGUACAGCUACAAAUUCAUGGUGUGAUUUAUACAUGCCUCUCUCGUGCCUCUCCAGCCUUCACUUACGAGGCUAAGUCAUCGAAAUGGUAUCCACGCAGAGGAUGAGGAGCAUUUCACAGUCAUUGAAGGACUGAACGGCCGCUUCCUGGGAACUUCGGAGGGGAGAUAUUUUCCUCACUGAUCAGACGAAGAACCGGGCGUAUGUUUCAUUCUUAAACCUUUGAAAAUCUAAAAACUCCAAAUAUUUUUUUAACGAUUACUGGCUCUAGCAUUUCCGCCCUUGUAGAUAUUUUUAAACGUAACAUUUUAGUGCCAUAUGUAUACGCGUUUUAUAUUUAAUAAAUAUUACAUAUUUUUAAA